UGUAUGCGAGGUGGGCGACGAGGAGGAAGAGGAGGAGGAUGGCAAGAAAGAGGAAGAGGAGGACGAAGAGGAAGAGAAAGAGUGGAAAUAUCUGAUGAAAUUCGAGCAACAGUUAUAGACCAUGUUCUUGUCCAUGGACUGACAAUGAGGUAAGCAGGACUUAGCAGGACUUUGUGACGAUUUUCUGUGUCCACCAUAGUAAGGACAUUCAGAGAAGAGAACAGUAUUGCAAGGCUGCCACAUGCAGGUGGAAGGACAGCUACAGUAUAUUCACUCAGCAGCAAGAGGCAGUUAUCGUUGGCAUGGUCCUUCAAGAUAAUGCAAUACGACUCAGAGAAUUCCAGGAACGAGUGAUACAAGACAACACACACUUCCAGGGAAUCGACAGUGUGAGCAUUUCCACAAUUGACCGUGUCCUCCAUCGUAACAGGAUGCGAAUUAAACAAGUAAACAGAGUACCUUUUGAGCGCAACUCACCAAGGGUGAAAGAACUGCGAGCUCAGUAUGUGCAAACAAUAUUUGACUUGGAAUCCUUGGACAGACCCCAUGAGUUCAUCUUUGUCGAUGAAGCAGGCUUCAAUCUAACAAAGAGGAGAAGGAG